rnacentral:tRNA from 1 species
GGAUGUGGCUCAAGUGGUAGCGCGCUCACCUGGCAUGGGUGUGGCCCGGGUUCGAUCCUCAGCACCA